rfam:Cytophagales bacterium MC1A Contig_16, whole genome shotgun sequence.
AAAAAGGCCUUUUUCAAGGCCAUUAGGGGCUUUUUACUGAAUUUUU